GAGAGCUGGAACCUGAUGGUUCGUGUCGUGCAUUUGUGUUACGUCAAAGAUCUUGAUUCUUGAAAAUUAUCAUUUUCCAUUGAAAUGGAAAUGAUGUACAAGAAUGGUAAUCGUAUUCAAGUAUGGGUGAAAGGAAGCUAGCAUUUUAUUAUGGGAGAAACAUGUACAAUAUCAGGGGCCAAAAGAUCCAAAAGAAGAUGAUACGAAGAUCAAACAGUAAAGAGAAACUCCCAUAACAUUGACAACAACUAAAGACUUAACCUCAGUUAUUGUUAGAAGAAUUGUGGUGGAAGGAUUGUG